UGCUUUUAGAUAUUAAAUAAAAGUAUAUUCUGCUCAAUGAUUUAUUAAAUAGCUGCAUUUUUGUACUAAGGUAGCAUAAUCAAUUGUCUAUUAAAUGUAGGCUUGUAUGAAAGAAUUAAUAAUUAAUUGCUUUAUUUUUUAUAAUAUUUUAAUUUAAAUUUUUGGUUAAAAUGCUAAAAUGAUUUAUAGGGACAAGAAGACCCUAUAAAGCUUAAAAUAAUAAUUUUUUAUUUUUUAAAAUUUUAUUUUUAAUUGGGGCAAUUAAUUAUGAAUAUUAAUAUAAUUAUAAAAUAAAGCAUUAAAGUGAUCCUAUAUUAUAGAAAAUUUGAAUAAGUUACUUUAGGGAUAACAGUAUAAUUUUUAUUUAUAAGUACAAAUUUACAAUAGAGAUUAUAACCUCGAUGUUGAAUUAAUUAUAUAUUAUGGUGAAGAAACUAUAUAUAUUUGACUGUUCGUCAAUUGAAAAAUUACA
rnacentral:rRNA from 1 species